rnacentral:tRNA from 1 species
GGAGAUGUUUUUGGUUUGAGAAUCUUCUAAAUUGUGGUAUGAUAAAAAUGUGGUGGGGACAGCAGGUUUGCCUUGCGAGCCUGAUAAACUACGUUUGGGGGGUUUAAUUCCCCCUGUCUCCACCA